rnacentral:rRNA from 1 species
CCUACGGGCGGCUGCAGUGAGGAAUAUUGGUCAAUGGACGAGAGUCUGAACCAGCCAAGUAGCGUGAAGGAUGACUGCCCUAUGGGUUGUAAACUUCUUUUAUAAAGGAAUAAAACGAGGCACGUGUGCCUUUUUGCAUGUACUUUAUGAAUAAGGAUCGGCUAACUCCGUGCCAGCAGCCGCGGUAAUACGGAGGAUCCGAGCGUUAUCCGGAUUUAUUGGGUUUAAAGGGAGCGUAGAUGGGUUGUUAAGUCAGUUGUGAAAGUUUGAGGCUCAACCGUAAAAUUGCAAUUGAUACUGGCAGUCUUGAGUACAGUUGAGGUAGGCGGAAUUCGUGGUGUAGCGGUGAAAUGCUUAGAUAUCACGAAGAACCCCGAUUGCGAAGGCAGCUUACUAACCUGUGACUGACAUUGAUGCUCGAAAGUGUGGGGAUCAAACAGGAUUAGAUACCCGGGUAGUC